rnacentral:rRNA from 1 species
CGUCAAGUCCUCAUGGCCCUUAUGUCCGGGGCUACACACGUGCUACAAUGGUCGGUACAAAUCGCUGCGAGCUCGUGAGAGUAAGCUAAUCGCAAAAAGCCGGCCUCAGUACGGAUUGCAGUCUGCAACUCGACUGCAUGAAGCUGGAAUCGCUAGUAAUCGCUGAUCAGCAGGCAGCGGUGAAUACGUUCCCGGGCCUU